AUUGAACGCUGGCGGCAGGCUUAACACAUGCAAGUCGAGCGGAGAUGAGGUGCUUGCACCUUAUCUUAGCGGCGGACGGGGGAGUAAUGCUUAGGAAUCUGCCUAUUAGUGGGGGACAACAUUCCGAAAGGAAUGCUAAUACCGCAUACGUCCUACGGGAGAAAGCAGGGGAUCUUCGGACCUCGCGCUAAUAGAUGAGCCUAAAUCGGCUUAGCUAGUUGGUGGGGUAAAGGCCUACCAAGGCGACGAUCUGUAGCGGGUCUGAGAGGAUGAUUCGCCACACUGGGACUGAGACACGGCCCAGACUCCUACGGGAGGCAGCAGUGGGGAAUAUUGGACAAUGGGGGGAACCCUGAUCCAGCCAUGCCGCGUGUGUGAAGAAGGCCUUAUGGUUGUAAAGCACUUUAAGCGAGGAGGAGGCUCUUUUGGUUAAUACCCAAGAUGAGUGGACGUUACUCGCAGAAUAAGCACCGGCUAACUCUGUGCCAGCAGCCGCCGUAA
rnacentral:rRNA from 1 species